GUGGUGUCCGUACCGCAAACCGACACUGGUAGACGGGUAGAGAAUACCAAGGGCGAACGGAGAACCCUUGUUAAGGAACUAGGCAACAUGGCCCCGUAACUUCGGGAGAAGGGGUGCCUUUAAGCGUGAAGUAUGUACAUACCUAGCGUCUGAAGGUCGCAGUGAAUAGGCUCUGGUGACUGUUUAACAAAAACACAGGUCCCUGCUAAAGUGUAAACUGAUGUAUAGGGGCUGACGCCUGCCCAGUGCCGGAAGGUUAAGGGGAGAGGUUAGUCGCAAGACGAAGCUUUGAACUGAAGCCCCGGUGAACGGCGGCCGUAACUAUAACGGUCCUAAGGUAGCGAAAUUCCUUGUCGGGUAAGUUCCGACCCGCACGAAUGGCGUAACAACUGGAGCACUGUCUCAACAAGGGACCCGGCGAAAUUGAAGUAUCCGUGAAGAUGCGGAUUACCCGCAGCAGGACAAAAAGACCCCGUGGAGCUUUACUAUAGCUUGGCAUUGCGUUUGGGCUUGGUCUGUCCAGGAUAGGUGGGAGACUGUGAAACUGGGGCGCUAGCCUCGGCGGAGUCGCCCUUGGGAUACCACCCUGACCAAGUCUAGACCCUAACUUCAGACCGUAAUCCGGCUGGAAGACAGUGCCAGGUGGGUAGUUUGACUGGGGCGGUCGCCUCCUAAAGAGUAACGGAGGCGCCAAAGGUUCCCUCAGGCUGAAUGGAAACCAGCCAAAGAGUGUAAAGGCAUAAGGGAGCUUGACUGCAAGACCACAAGUCGCGCAGAGACGAAAGUCGGGCUUAGUGAUCCCACGGUACCGAGUGGAAGGGCCGUGGCUCAUCGGAUAAAAGCUACCCGGGGAUAACAGGCUGGUCUUGCCCAAGAGUCCAUAUCGACGGCAAGGCUCGGCACCUCGAUGUCGGCUCGUCACAUCCUGGGGCUGUACAAGGUCCCAAGGGUUGGGCUGUUCGCCCAUUAAAGUGGUACGUGAGCUGGGUUCAAACCGUCGUGAGACAGGUUGGUCUCUAUCCGCUGUGGGCGAAGGGGAUUUGAGGGGAGCUGCUCCUAGUACGAGAGGACCGGAGUGGACAGACCUCUGGUGUGUCAGUUGUCGUGCCAACGGCAUAGCUGAGUAGCCACGUCUGGCAAGGAUAACCGCUGAAAGCAUCUAGUGGGAAACCUGCCCCAAGAUGAGAUCCCCCAAGCUAUAUGCUUGUAAGACCGCAGAAAGACUAUCUGCUUGAUAGGCGUCAGGUGUACACGCAGCAAUGCGCUUAGCUUAGACGUACUAAUGGUCGAGAGGCUCACAU
rnacentral:rRNA from 1 species